rnacentral:rRNA from 1 species
UACGUAGGGAGCGAGCGUUGUCCGGAUUCAUUGGGCGUAAAGCGCUUUAAGGCGGUUCGCUAAGUCGCGUGUGAAACCUCCAGGCUCAACCUGGAGACGCCACGCGAUACUGGCGUGACUAGAGUUCGGUAGGGGAUCACGGAAUUCCUGGUGUAGCGGUGAAGUGCGCAGAUAUCAGGAGGAACACCGGUGGCGAAGGCGGUGAUCUGGGCCGACACUGACGCUGUAGAGCGAAAGCGUGGGGAGCGAACAGG